rnacentral:rRNA from 1 species
UACGAAGGGGGCUAGCGUUGCUCGGAAUCACUGGGCGUAAAGGGUGCGUAGGCGGGUCUUUAAGUCAGGGGUGAAAUCCUGGAGCUCAACUCCAGAACUGCCUUUGAUACUGAAGAUCUUGAGUUCGGGAGAGGUGAGUGGAACUGCGAGUGUAGAGGUGAAAAUUCGUAGAUAUUCGCAAGAACACCAGUGGCGAAGGCGGCUCACUGGCCCCGAUACUGACGCUGAGGCACGAAAAGC